GAGAUAGUGUAUUUAAGAGAUAUUGUAGUUCAAGUUUCCAUAUUUAAUCAGCUUAACAAGUGCACAUUCUCUGCUGCCAACAGUACCAAUUUGUCAUCCAAGCAACAAAUAUUCCUUGGUAAUCUGCUAUCAGAUGACAGUUAUCUCUUUGGCAUUUUUAUGAAGCUUUCAAAGCCAAACUUCAGAUUUGCUUAGCAUAUCAACAAAUGUUUGAUGGUUUGUCUGGUUCAUCUCUUAACACUAUGAAGAUGGCUACACUAAUUUUAACAAGCAAACAUUCUGUUGCCAACAGUACCAAUUUGUCAUCCUAUCCAAGCAACUACUAUUCCUUGGUAAUCUGCUAUCAGAUGAUUACAGUUUUCUCUUUGGCAUUUGUAUGAAUUAAAGCUUUCAAAGCCAAACCUUAGAUUUGGUUAGCAUAACCCUGAACUGCAUAUCAACAAAUGUCUAAUGGUCUGUCUGGUUCAUUUCUCAAGACUAUGAAGAUGGCUACUUCUU
rnacentral:sRNA from 1 species